rnacentral:rRNA from 1 species
CCUACGGUGGGCUGCAGUGGGGAAUAUUGGACAAUGGGCGAAAGCCUGAUCCAGCAAUGCCGCGUGAGUGAUGAAGGCCUUAGGGUUGUAAAGCUCUUUUACCCGGGAAGAUAAUGACGGUACCGGGAGAAUAAGCCCCGGCUAACUCCGUGCCAGCAGCCGCGGUAAUACGGAGGGGGCUAGCGUUGUUCGGAAUUACUGGGCGUAAAGCGUACGUAGGCGGCUUGGUAAGUUAGAGGUGAAAGCCUGGGGCUCAACCCCAGAAUUGCCUUUAAGACUGCCUCGCUUGAACGUCGGAGAGGUGAGUGGAAUUCCGAGUGUAGAGGUGAAAUUCGUAGAUAUUCGGAAGAACACCAGUGGCGAAGGCGGCUCACUGGACGACUGUUGACGCUGAGGUACGAAAGCGUGGGGAGCAAACAGGAUUAGAUACCCUUGUAGUC